UGACUAGUGUGAGGUGGUAGCUCGUUGUGU
rnacentral:piRNA from 1 species